UACGUAGGUGGCAAGCGUUGUCCGGAAUUAUUGGGUGUAAAGCGCGCGCAGGCGGCCUCUUAAGUCUGAUGUGAAAGCCCCCGGCUCAACCGGGGGAGGGCCAUUGGAAACUGGGAGGCUUGAGUAUAGGAGAGAAGAGUGGGAUUCCACGUGUAGCGGUGAAAUGCGUAGAGAUGUGGAGGAACACCAGUGGCGAAGGCGACUCUUUGGCCUAUAACUGACGCUGAGGCGCGAAAGCGUGGGGAGCAAACAGG
rnacentral:rRNA from 1 species